rnacentral:rRNA from 1 species
CCUACGGGCGGCAGCAGUGGGGAAUAUUGGACAAUGGGGGGAACCCUGAUCCAGCCAUGCCGCGUGUGUGAAGAAGGCCCUCGGGUUGUAAAGCACUUUCAGUGAGGAAGAACGCCUGGUGGUUAAUACCCAUCAGGAAAGACAUCACUCACAGAAGAAGCACCGGCUAACUCCGUGCCAGCAGCCGCGGUAAUACGGAGGGUGCGAGCGUUAAUCGGAAUUACUGGGCGUAAAGCGCGCGUAGGUGGCUUGAUAAGCCGGUUGUGAAAGCCCCGGGCUCAACCUGGGAACGGCAUCCGGAACUGGCGAGCUAGAGUGCAGGAGAGGAAGGUAGAAUUCCCGGUGUAGCGGUGAAAUGCGUAGAGAUCGGGAGGAAUACCAGUGGCGAAGGCGGCCUUCUGGACUGACACUGACACUGAGGUGCGAAAGCGUGGGUAGCAAACAGGAUUAGAUACCCGGGUAGUC